rnacentral:tRNA from 3 species
GCAGUUGACUUUUAAUCAAUUGGUCGCAGGUUCGAAUCCUGCACGACCCACCA